rnacentral:lncRNA from 1 species
GUGGGGGUGUCUGUGUGUGAUGGUGUGUGUGUGUGUGCGUAUGUGUUAGAAAGAAAACGAAAGUCCGUGUGUGUGUAGUUGUGUCGGGUGAUGGCGUGGUGUGGGCGUGUAAGGUCGUGUGGUGUAGUGGAGAGGGUGUGCAGGGGUUGCAGUAGGACGUCAUGGGAUGCAUGCGGGGGCGGUCUUUGACGGGGGAGCCUCAACGUAACUCCAGUGGGGAUGCCACGUCGCAACGCCCCCAGCAUGCAGUCCGUCUGGGUCUCCCUCCUUCCCCACUUCUCCCCACUUCUCCCCACCUUCUCCCCACCUUCCCGCCUCUGCAAUCCCCCCACCCCAACCCCACGCCCUCCCCACCUUCUCCCACCUUCUCCCCGCCUC